AUACCUGACUCCGCUCUGCAGUGUCUUUCUGUGCUGGACAACGUAUUAAGCCGAUUUUUGAAGAACGGAUGUGAAGGUGGAGCUUGCUCUAUUCACUCCAUGCAUUGACCCAGUAUUGCAGUGUUUCUGGGAACAGUGCCCACAUC
rnacentral:snRNA from 1 species